rnacentral:rRNA from 1 species
GAUGAACGCUGACAGAAUGCUUAACACAUGCAAGUCAACUUGAAUUUGGGUUUUUAACUUAGAUUUGGGUGGCGGACGGGCGAGUAACGCGUAAAGAACUUGCCUCACAGCUAGGGACAACAUUUAGAAAUGAAUGCUAAUACCUGAUAUUAUGAUUUUAAGGCAUCUUAGAAUUAUGAAAGCUAUAAGCACUGUGAGAGAGCUUUGCGUCCCAUUAGCUAGUUGGAGAGGUAACAGCUCACCAAGGCGAUGAUGGGUAGCCGGCCUGAGAGGGUGAACGGCCACACCCCCGACUGAGACACGGCCCUUACUCCUACGGGAGGCAGCAGUGGGGAAUAUUGGACAAUGGACCGAGAGUCUGAUCCAGCAAUUCUGUGUGCACGAUGAAGUUUUUCGGAAUGUAAAGUGCUUUCAGUUGGGAAGAAAUAAAUGACGGUACCAACAGAAGAAGUGACGGCUAAAUACGUGCCAGCAGCCGCGGUAAUACGUAUGUCACGAGCGUUAUCCGGAUUUAUUGGGCGUAAAGCGCGUCUAGGUGGUUAUGUAAGUCUGAUGUGAAAAUGCAGGGCUCAACUCUGUAUUGCGUUGGAAACUGUAUAACUAGAGUACUGGAGAGGUAAGCGGAACUACAAGUGUAGAGGUGAAAUUCGUAGAUAUUUGUAGGAAUGCCGAUGGGGAAGCCAGCUUACUGGACAGAUACUGACGCUAAAGCGCGAAAGCGUGGGUAGCAAACAGG